UAGUUUGCUAAGCAGAGACGGUUAGAGUUCAAAUUGCGUAGCUAGUAAUAAGACAAUAAAAUAAGAUUGAAUAUUAGCUGUAAAUGUUGUUUCUCUUAUUUGCAGAAACUCAAGGAAGUUAUAUUUCCAAGACAUCAUCCUUAUAAGAACUAUGUAGAAUAUACCUUAUACGUAUAUAUAAAUACGAUUUGUUUUUACGGAAAAAGUUUUCGACAUUAUUUGAGAGCGACAGAAGAACGGCGUGUUACGUAACAAACAAAGUCCAUGGUAUACCAUUCCGGGACUUCGGUCUCGACGAAUAUGAACAAAGUCAUGUGCACCGAGAAUUAGAUAAAUUUCGCCAAAGACAUGGGUCGAAGCUUUUAAUAGCAUAUAAAGGAGGACAUAUCGAAAGAGAUUUGUUAAAUCAGGCAUCAAUAAUCGGUUUCAACUUAGAAGACUUUGAUUGUCCUAAAUUUGAAGACCAAAUUAAAAUAUAUGAAGAUAGAAAUUUAAAUAAUUCUUAUCUUCUUACAUCGGCGAAAUCAACCACAAAUGUACAUUGUUGUCCCUUUCUGAGAUAUAAGUGUAUAGAGAAUAAUAUAAGGAUAAAAGAUAAUUUUUGUAAAUUUACAAAUUUUUAUAGCCAAUUUUUUCUUACGCGCGCGAUUUUUCAUAAGUAUUUUUUUUUUAUUAAAUAUAAUACCAUUUUCUAAAGAUUACUGUUUCUACAAAGAGACAAGUUAUAACUACGUCUGUUUUCGCCGUAAUGUAUAAAUAUGUAAAAAAAAUGACGAUCUCAUCAUUCCUUUAAAAUAAAUUAUUAUUUUAUUUAUAUUCUUAUUAAUUUAAUAUUGUAUGUAACGACGGAUAACCUUUCUUUAAACCGUCUCCGUGCGUAAGACUACCAAAUUUCUGUUAUCUAAUUUUAAGUUAAGUCUGUAGAUCAAAUUUGUUAUCGGCAAAGCUAUUCUGCAAUCCAUAUGUACAUACCGAAUUUAAAUAAACAUUGAAACUUUAUAAAGAUUCCAAUCAAAAACACUGCGAAACUUUUGCAAUACCGCCUUUUUUAUAAAUAUGAUGUAAAUAUGCUAUGUACAUCCGUAGAGAUGUAAGAAUUUCUACAAUAAAAUAAGUAAUUACGAUCUUCA
rnacentral:lncRNA from 1 species